AACACAAUGAAAGGAACAAAAAGAAAGGGAAAAGAAGAAAGGCGUGCGUUCAUUCUUCACUUACCCUUUGUUCUUUUCCCUUGGCUUUUGUUCUCUUUCACCAACCCUACAAACGAGUUCUUGUGGUUUAUUUUUGUUCCUUUUAUUCGCUUAAUUUCAAUGGAACGAAGUGGAAGCGAGAAUUAAGCGAAUAAAAGAAACAAAAAGAA
rnacentral:ribozyme from 1 species